UUUUAGCCCCGAUAGAAGCGGUAUCCUUUUUUAACACCGGCAGGUUUAAAAAAGAUUAAGCGGAUAGCGGGAAUAGCU
rnacentral:sRNA from 1 species